CCCGUCACACCAUGGAAGUGUAUUGCACCAGAAGCAGGUAGCCUGACCGCAAGGAGGGCGCCUACCACGGUGUGAUCCAUGACUGGGGUG
rnacentral:rRNA from 1 species